rnacentral:lncRNA from 1 species
CUCUGAUUUCGGACUCAGCGCUCUUACCGAUCAGAUCCGACCCGACGGCCUCCUCCACACCCUCUGUGGUACCCCGGCAUACGUGGCGCCGGAGGUUCUGGCGAAGAAAGGCUACGACGGUGCUAAAAUCGACAUCUGGUCAUGCGGAAUCAUAUUGUUUGUUCUCAACGCCGGUUAUCUGCCUUUCAACGACCAUAACCUCAUGGUCAUGUACCGGAAAAUCUACAAGGGAGAGUUUCGCAUUCCCAAGUGGACCUCACCGGAUCUCCGGCGACUUCUGACUCGGCUUCUCGACACCAAUCCGCAGACGAGGAUCACUAUCGAAGAGAUCAUCCACGAUCCAUGGUUCAAACAGGGCUACGACGAUCGGAUGUCAAAAUUCCACCUCGAGGACUCCGAUAUGAAACUCCCGGCGGACGAUAUCGACGGCGAGAUGGGAGCAAGGAGGAUGAACGCAUUCGACAUCAUCUCAGGAUCCCCAGGAUUCAAUCUCUCCGGUCUGUUCGGCGACGCUAGGAAGUACGACCGAGUGGAGAGGUUCGUGUCGGCGUGGACGGCGGAGAGGGUGGUGGAGAAGCUGGAAGAGAUCGUGGCGGCGGAGAAUCUGACGGUGGCGAAGAAGGAGGCGUGGGGGAUGAAGAUUGAAGGGCAAAAAGGUAAUUUCGCGAUGGUGGUCGAGAUAAACCAGCUAACGGACGAGCUG